CCUGACGACAAUAGCGAGCGUGAACCACCUGAUUCCAUCCCGAACUCAGAAGUGAAACUGCUCAGCGCCGAUGGUAGUGUGGGGUUUCCCCAUGUGAGAGUAGGUCAUUGUCAGGC
rnacentral:rRNA from 1 species